UGACUAAACUCACACAAAUCACAUUCCCUUCCCCAUGGCUGAAUUAAAACAUAACAAAAAAAGCUUACUUCAAUAAACUAAUGCUAGCUCAACACAAAAAGUGUACAUGGUGAAAUACAAUUCAAAAAUUAUCAAUCUACAUAGGAGCAAGAAAAGAAUUCAACUAGCAAGGUUCUGCCAAUAAAGUCAAUCUAAUUAAGAUCAAAUUGUGAUAGAGAGAGAAGGACAAUUUGAUAUACGUUAGCUAAAAAUCUACCAAGUUUCAUGAUAGAAAAUCCACAAUUACCUUUCAAAAGAAGUCAUUCCUCUUUGCUUGCGUUCCUUUUUUAAUUCUCUUUCAUUCAAAACGAAAUCCACAAAAAAAAAA
rnacentral:misc_RNA from 1 species